rnacentral:lncRNA from 1 species
AUGGAUGGAUGCUGCAAGUUCCUCUUCAUUUCAAAUAUUUUGUUACAAAUGAAUCGUAUGCAUCCGCUCGUCUCGGCCAAUUUCGACUUGCACCAACCGACUUUUUAUCCCGCCGAGCCGUUGAGAGAAAAAGACGUGCUGCGGACUCUGCGCGAGGAUCAUUUGACCAACUGGAGCUGGUUGGACGAGAAGGAGCCGCCCGGCCCCAACACGGUGGCCAUUCGCCGCGGCCCCGACCCGCAGACCCGCUCUUGGAUCGUCUUCCGCACGACGAAGCGCGGCACCACCCUCUACAAGGAGACAUUCACCAACGAAGACGCUGCCAUGUCCUUCUUCCUCGAUCGGGUCCGCUUGAUCUCCAUCUGCGUCGAGCCCGUCACUCCGCAUAUAGUAGACAGCGACGAGAUUUACGAUAUUUUCGACCAACAGCGUGCUCAGCAGGCUAAAAAUAAGCAAGUCAUGGAAUAAUAGCUACCGGAAAGGUAACUGUCAGAUUCUCCCAUAAGAUCGCGUAUAGUUAUAUUUUCGAAGCGGACUUGGAGUCGAUUCCCCACGAAAUUUGAAACGGCAGGCUGCGCGGGGGUCGCGGGAAUUUCAAGAAUCGGAGCAAAGAUGGACGACUGCUGCCCCUCUGGUAGCUAUUAUUCUAAGCCCGUUUCAGACGAUCAAUGUAGAGCUCUCAAAGUGGCGUCACGUGGGGUCUCGUCACCCUCAAAGAUUGUCGGCCCGACAAUCUUUGAGGGCAAUGGAGGGUCACGUGACCCCAUGUGACGCCACUUUGAGAGCUCUACUGCCUUAAUACUAGUUAUAUCGUAAGCAAGAACCUUAGCUACUACUUCUAAUUGGACGCAUUUAAAGCAAAAGGAACUAUGUGCAUUGAGCCAUGGGCCUUGAGAUCCAUAAGAAUACAUGGGUACCGGGGCUCAUGUCCGAAUGAAUUUUGGCUCCUUUGGAUUUAAUUGAAACCGUAUGUACAAACGAUAAGUGCAAGAUUACCUAUAAAGAUUUAGGGGUCAAUUUUUAUGCUUGAAGGAACUACUAUUAAACAAAAAUUUUCAUGAAAGACUUUGUUGAGAAUAGGAAAAAUACAACUGUUUCUAAGCUGGUAAUUUUCUCUACGAAUUGUAUCGCUUCCUUUUUCCCCGUCCAUUUUUCACUUUGGAUAGAUUCACAUAUACAAUUCCGUAUCCAGAUAAGACAGAAAUAUCAAAACAAUAUUUAAACAAUAUUGUUUUGAUAUUUAUGCAAACAUUGGGCCAAUAUCGGUUAAAUAUUGAGCCAAUGUUAAAAGUGUACACCAUAUUUCCUUUUGGCAUAAAUACUGUGCCAAUACUUUAAAAUACUGUGAAAUACUGUGUCAAUACUGUGAAAAUAUUUUUAUAAUAUUUUGGUAAACAUAUUAUUUUUAAAAACACUAAAUAAAGAUUCUUUAAACAUUUUUUUAAAAAAAUAAUUUUGAUUAAUAUAUUAUCAAAAUAUUGUCAGUAUUGUGUAAAUAUCGCGACAAUACUGACAAUAUUCGCCCAUUAUUGUAAAAAUAUUAUGUCUUAACUGGGUAAGCCCGAUCCUUCGGGUCAAAAUUCAGCGGAAA